CUAGAGUUGAUCCUGGCUCAGAGCGAACGUUAGCGGCGGGCCUAACACAUGCAAGUCGAGCGAGAAAGGGGCUUCGGCCCUGAGUAAAGCGGCGGACGGGUGAGUAACACGUAGGUAAUCUUCCCUUGAGCGGGGGACAACGAGCCGAAAGGCUCGCUAAUACCGCAUAAGUUCAUAGGGACUCUGGUCCUUAUGAGGAAAGCUAGGUAGCAAUAUCCGGCACUCGAGGAGGAGCCUGCGUCGCAUCAGCUAGUUGGUGGGGUAACGGCCUACCAAGGCGAAGACGCGUAGCUGGUCUGAGAGGAUGAUCAGCCACACUGGGACUGAGACACGGCCCAGACUCCUACGGGAGGCAGCAGUGGGGAAUAUUGGACAAUGGGCGCAAGCCUGAUCCAGCCACGCCGCGUGAGUGAUGAAGGCCUUCGGGUCGUAAAGCUCUGUGGGGAGGGACGAACCGCUGUCGGUUAAUACCCGGCAGCAUGACGGUACCUCCUUAGCAAGCACCGGCUAACUUCGUGCCAGCAGCCGCGGUAA
rnacentral:rRNA from 1 species